rnacentral:rRNA from 1 species
GCCACGGCCAUACCAGCCUGGGUACGCCCGAUCUCGUCUGAUCUCGGAAGCUAAGCAGGGUCGGGCCUGGUUAGUACUUGGAUGGGAGACCGCCUGGAAAUACCAGGUGCUGUAAGCA